rnacentral:rRNA from 1 species
UCUGGUGGCGAUAGCGAAGAGGUCACACCCGUUCCCAUCCCGAACACGGAAGUUAAGCUCUUUAGCG